AUGGUUGUAGUCUUCAGACAUAUUGGACCAGUGGCCUGGGCCAGUGACAGGUUGAAAAUGUCAGUGAAGACUUGCACCAGUUGGUCAGCACAACUCCUGAGCACACGUCUGGGUGUGCCAUCAGGGCCAGCUGACUUACGUGGAUCUACUCUGCUCAGUGCUGAGUGUACCUCUGUUGUGGAGAGUGAUAUUGGAAGAUCAGCCAUGGAGGAGUCAUCAUUCCUGGUGUGUAUGACGCCCUGGUCAAAGAAUGUAUCACUGUGGUACACUUUUGGUGGAGGAACCAAACUGUCUGUGGGCCGUGUCACCCAGCCCAGUGUGACGGUGCUGCCCCCCUCCAGUGUGGAGCUGCAGCAGGAGAAGGUCACACUCAUGUGUGUGGCCUACAAGGGCUUCCCCUCGGACUGGAAGUUGAGCUGGAAGGUUGAUGGCAGCAGCUGGAGCUCGGGGGAAAUCAGCAGCACCUCCGUUCUGAACGCUGACGGCCUCUACAGCUGGAGCAGCACACUGAGCCUCCACCGGGAGCAGUGGAGGAACAAGGUGGUGACCUGUGAGGCCUCCAAAGACAACCAACCUACUGUGGUGAGCACAGUGAACACAGAGCAGUGCUCAGAGCUGUGAGAUCACACACACUUUACUCAGCUCACCUUCUACUGCUUCACUGUGUGGUACAUGUGGCCUUUACUGCUCAAAUCAUCCUCUCUCAUCAUUUCAUUUGUGUUAUUAACAUGUGAGCUCACACACUCCUCAGUUUAAC